rnacentral:lncRNA from 1 species
GUGGUCUGAGAAAGGAUUGGAGUCACUUCAUCCUUUAAGCAUAGAUGCAGAAGGCUAGGGCUACUGGGACUAUUCCUGUGGUUUGGAGAAGCGUUUCUUAGACAGGCUGUAUCAGAAUCAUUGGAGGUUCUCUAUUUGAAGUGCAGUGUCCGGGCUUCCUCCCAGACCUCCUGAAUCAGAGUUCCCAGAAUCUGCAUUUUAACGUACGCACUCCCAAGUCAGAAUAGCUGGUUAGUUGGCAGUGGGGCUGGGGGAGGGGGGCAGCCAAUCAGAAGAAUAUUUGCUAUUGGGAUUGUCCUGGGAAUGCCAGGGCACACGCUUGCUGUCCUGCCGUGAAAUGGCCACCUCCCCAGAUAUGAUAUCCUUUUGCCUCAUAGAAUUGCGACAGGAAUAAGGACAGGAAUUUCAGAAGUUUGCAGAGUAGAUUUUCCUGCUGUGAGGCAGUGUAUGUGAGAAGGCUCUGCCUUCCUUCAAAUGAGAAGGAAAAAGAAAAGAAAAAGCUUUAUAUAUAUGUAUAUAUAUUUUGGAGGCAAAUGUGUCACUUUCAGAUGGGUUCUUUUCCAGUCUGGGCACAAUUUUCAUUUCUCUCUGGUGAGUCAUUGCAGACGUUGGCUUUUUCUCACUGCCUCUUGUUAGCAAAGGACAUAUUUCAUGGAAGGGCUGAGACCCAUCUGGGGCAGGCCUGGAAAAUCUACUCUGCAAAUCCAGGUAGAGGACCCACUGGGGCUAUCACGGGGCCCUACACAGUCCUGUGCUGUGGGAGCCUCAGAGACUCCCGGCAACCAAGGCAAUGGGCACUUUUCCCCCUUCCUAAUUAGCCCUCCUUGUUAACUCACAUCUUGCCCUUCCAUGCGUUGUUUCUAGACUCUCUGGGCCACCAUCCUGCUGGUUUUAAUGAGAAAAAGUCCACAAGUACCUUUCGGCAUUCAUUCACGUAAUCCAUCAGUAGUAUAGCAUAGCAAUUAAGGACAUGGGUUCUGGGAGUUGUCCUUUAGUGGCUCCCUGUUUCAUCAAAGUCAAAACCGAAGUUCCUGCCAUGACCACGAGGCCCUCCGUGAUCUAACCCCUGUCACCUAAGUUUAUCUCCCCUCACUCACUCAGCUCCAGCCACACUAAACUCCUCGCUGCCUCUCCAACAUACCAUAGAUGUGCCCACCCCAGGGCCUUUGCAUAGGCUGUUCCCACCUCCUGUGAUGUUUUUUCCUGCAGAUCUCUGCAUGACUCAUUUCCUUUAGAUCUCCGCUCAAAUGUUGCCAGAUCACCUUGACCACCCUAUAUAAACAGCAGACCCACUUCAGCCAUCACUAACCCUCUUUCUUCCCCAUAGCAUUUAUCACCACCUGACACAGUAUUUAUUGACUUGUAUUUUUCUUUAGGAUAUGUUUCUUCCGCUAGAAUGGUAGCUCCUUGUGGACGAGCACUUUGACUUGAUUACUGUUAUUUUCCCAACAUCUAGACUUUGACUAGCACAUUAUAGGCCUUUAAUAAAUAAGUAAAGAUUGGUUGAUUGAACGAAUUAAUGAAUUCAUUAAUGAAUGAAUGCCUGGACCUGUUCCUUACUAGCUGUGUGACCUUGGGCUCCUUAGCAUCUCUGAGCCUCAAUAAAAUGGACAUGGCUAUAGAGGUUUGCAAGAUAAAGGAGAUAAUACAAGUCUGUUUGUAAGCUUUAAUAAAAUACCCGAGACUGGAUAAUUUAUAAAGUACAGAAACUCAUUUCCUCUGAAGCCUAGAAAGUCCAAGAUCAAGGUGCCAGCAGGUUAAGUGUGUAGGGAGGGUUCCUUCCUCAUAAAUGGUGCCAUCUAGGUGUCCUCCUGUGAUGGAAGAGGUGGAAGGGACAAUGUGUUCUCACAUGACAGAAAAGACAGAAGAGCCAGCAAAAUAAGGUAGAAUGUGCUAAAUAAAAUCGAAGGUGCUUCCAAAGGACUAUCACGUAAAGAGAUGGCAGGUUUUCUACCCAGGUGGUUGGAAUGAGGGAAGGCUCCUUGGCGGGUGGCAUCUGAGGUGGGCCUGGGGCCGGGCAAGGGUCUCAGGGGGUCAGCGUGGGGUUUGUGGAAGGGUGGUAUGGGAAGAUGGAACAGCGCGAACAAAGAGGCAGAAGGGAGAAUGUUCAGGGACAGGUCAGAUAUGUUCCCUGAACUCCAGAGGCUGCAAACAGGAGGGGGAGGGGAAAGCAGAAUAAGGAGAUGGAAGCAUUUUUUUCCUUUCUGGAAGAAGAGAGGCUGGUCGGUGCUUUCCAAAAGCUGUACAGCAGUGAAAUAAAACAAGAAGUCUGAUUUACAGCCCCCUUCCUGGGGCAGAGUGCUUCACAGUUAGUAACGCAGUCUUCUGGGAAUCAUUUUGUUGGCAAGUCACAGCCUUCCUGAAGAGAGGCAGAAGUUAUUAGUUGUUUAUGAUUCUGGUAUUGAGGUCACCUGCAAAUAACUCUGAAUGGGAUAUCACAUCCAAAAGAAACCAGUCGGUAAUGGUGGGAUUUCUGGGCACUGUGGCCUUCUGCUGUCCUAUAGACUGGGAGGAAAUUCAGAGCACAGGUGUCAGGGGAAACUAAGAAGGAUGAUGCGAGGGAGAAAGACUGAAUGGUGAGCUUUGGAAAGCAGGAGACCAUGCAUUGUCAUUCAUUCAUUCAUUCAUUCAUUCAAUGAACACUGAAUGCUUACCAUGUAUAAAACAGUAUAUUCAGUCCAGGGGCCCAGGGGCCAGGACUUUAGACACU